UACGGGGGGGGCAAGCGUUGUUCGGAAUUACUGGGCGUAAAGGGUUCGUAGGUGGCUGGCUAAGUCAGACGUGAAAUCCCUCAGCUCAACUGGGGAACUGCGUCUGAGACUGGUCAGCUUGAGUGCAGGAGAGGGAUGCGGAAUUCCAGGUGUAGCGGUGAAAUGCGUAGAUAUCUGGAGGAACACCGGUGGCGAAGGCGGCAUCCUGGACCGGUAUUGACGCUGAGGCGCGAAAGCCAGGGGAGCAAACGGG
rnacentral:rRNA from 1 species